rnacentral:rRNA from 1 species
AGCGGCGGACGGGUGAGUAAUGCUUAGGAAUCUGCCUAUUAGUGGGGGACAACAUUCCGAAAGGAAUGCUAAUACCGCAUACGUCCUACGGGAGAAAGCAGGGGAUCUUCGGACCUUGCGCUAGUAGAUGAGCCUAAGUCGGAUUAGCUAGUUGGUGGGGUAAAGGCCUACCAAGGCGACGAUCUGUAGCGGGUCUGAGAGGAUGAUCCGCCACACUGGGACUGAGACACGGCCCAGACUCCUACGGGAGGCAGCAGUGGGGAAUAUUGGACAAUGGGGGGAACCCUGAUCCAGCCAUGCCGCGUGUGUGAAGAAGGCCUUAUGGUUGUAAAGCACUUUAAGCGAGGAGGAGGCUACUGAGACUAAUACUCUUGGAUAGUGGACGUUACUCGCAGAAUAAGCACCGGCUAACUCUGUGCCAGCAGCCGCGGUAAUACAGAGGGUGCGAGCGUUAAUCGGAUUUACUGGGCGUAAAGCGUGCGUAGGCGGCUGAUUAAGUCGGAUGUGAAAUCCCUGAGCUUAACUUAGGAAUUGCAUUCGAUACUGGUCAGCUAGAGUAUGGGAGAGGAUGGUAGAAUUCCAGGUGUAGCGGUGAAAUGCGUAGAGAUCUGGAGGAAUACCGAUGGCGAAGGCAGCCAUCUGGCCUAAUACUGACGCUGAGGUACGAAAGCAUGGGGAGCAAACAGGAUUAGAUACCCUGGUAGUCCAUGCCGUAAACGAUGUCUACUAGC